GCGGGGCGGUGCGGCCGGGCCCAGGGUGGCCGCGGGGCGUCCUUUCGGGCCGCGUCAGGAGCCCCGGCCCGAGCGCUCUCCUGACCCCACGGCAGCACCGGCGCAGCCCCUGGGCGGAGGCACAGGAGCGGAGGCGCGGCAGGGGCUCCGCGAAGCGACUUCUCCCUCGCGGGGAGCCGGGUCUGGCCAGCGGGGCCUUCCUGGAGCUGUGGCAGCCGCGGGUAACGGCGGAGCCGCCGCCCGGAACUCCAGGCCGGCGUUAAGUGCCAACAAGCGGCGUGUGGCGCCGCGCUGAACGCUGUAAUUUAAAGGAUGUAAUUUCUGUCUAGUGCACACUCGGACAUUCGCCACGGCUUGAGCUUGAGGAAACGACCGUAUGCCCAUCGCAAACCGAACCGUACCUGCAGCUAUCCACAGUUAAGAGUAAAUACCAACCCAGGAGUGAGAGCCUGUUUUCCAGUCCUGAGUGAGAUCUAAAAGCUGCCACAUUCAAAUUUUGUUCUGUUUGACCGAAAGGUCUGUGUUACCUACCAGUCCUGCUUCUUGGGGACACCAAACUUCCUGGAGCCUGUUAAACAGUAAAAUUCAGCGGUAACUCAAAACCCAUUAAGUGGAAACAAGUUUCCAGAUGGUGUCAGUGGUUAAACCAAUGCAAGGGAUUCAGUUUCUGUCAGCCUAGAGAAAAUAUCCGCAAAAGUAUGAUAGUUCCUUACCACUGCCAGAGUUUACACAUCAGGCAUAUUACAGAUUCCACAAAAAAACCCCAGGCUGCCACUCCAAGUCAGUCUUCCUCUAUCAUAAGAUACCAACGAAUUGUAUCACACUGUCAACAUCUAGGAGGUUGCAUAAGACAAUGACUGACUCCUUUUCACCCGGUUCCAAAUAAGAUGUAUGAUAUGCAGCUUUUGCUGAAUAUUUAAAUUCCUAGGCAAAACUUUGCAUUUAAAGGUGAAUUACUUAAAAGUUGAAACAGCUAACACAGUCUUGCUCCAAUAUAUUCCUUAAUGGCAAAAAGCUUUAGACAUCUAUAGCAAUCUAAGGAGUAAGGGAACUAUGACCAAAAGGUACCACAGAACCCUUUUACUAAGCCAACACAAAAUGUUGCAGAGUAACUGUGAAACGAUGAGUCGAACAAAAUUACAAAAUGAAUUUAUUCCAAAGCUGUAAGGGAACAUGAACAUGUACAAUUCAACAAGAUGGUAAAAAGGUGUUUCCACAAGAACUCACUGCAUUAAAAUUAGAUGUGAAACUGGGGAAAAAUAACUACUGAGGCCACAAGAACUUUGCACAUCACUUCUGAAAUACAGGACUCAUGUAAAGAAAACUCACUCAAAAUUCAGUGAGAAAAUAAGCUGCUAGCACCUAGCUACUAGUCUAAAUACAAGCUAUGUUUAGGCUUUGAGAUUACAUUUUUAAAUCCCCUCAAAACACCGAUUAUAGUCACAAGUGCAAAAUGUCUUUUUUUUUCCUCCUUUUUUCCUCCAAUGGAAGCUUAUUACACAUCUAGUGCCUAUUUUCAGAGUGACAUUUUGGUCUCACAAAUUUGUCCUUGAAAGCUUUUUGCCAAGUUUUAUGGGUUUUGUGACAAAUCAAAUUUGAGCAGCUGGCAGGUAAUCAUUAAUACAGUCAGCUCACAUGUCCUGGAAUGUCCAAAAUUUGCUGCCUAGUGUUCCAGAGUUAAGCAAAACCAGACUUCUAAUUUAGCAUCAACAAUGUCUCUCACUUUGACAAUUUGGUAUUUUGGCCAUCUGACUGUAGUGAUAAAUAUCAGUGUUAAUGAAAACACCUGAGUCAGAUUCACAAGCAAAUACAAAUAGAACCAGAGUGGGGAGACAUCACCUUCUGUAGAUAUCAAGUGGCUGAACAAAAAAAAAAAAAAAGGCAG